rnacentral:rRNA from 1 species
GAUGAACGCUGGCGGCGUGCAUAAUACAUGCAAGUCGAGCGAACAGACGAGGAGCUUGCUCCUCUGACGUUAGCGGCGGACGGGUGAGUAACACGUGGAUAACCUACCUAUAAGACUGGGAUAACUUCGGGAAACCGGAGCUAACACCGGAUAAUAUAUUGAACCGCAUGGUUCAAUAGUGAAAGACGGUUUUGCUGUCACUUAUAGAUGGAUCCGCGCCGCAUUAGCUAGUUGGUAAGGUAACGGCUUACCAAGGCAACGAUGCGUAGCCGACCUGAGAGGGUGAUCGGCCACACUGGAACUGAGACACGGUCCAGACUCCUACGGGAGGCAGCAGUAGGGAAUCUUCCGCAAUGGGCGAAAGCCUGACGGAGCAACGCCGCGUGAGUGAUGAAGGUCUUCGGAUCGUAAAACUCUGUUAUUAGGGAAGAACAAAUGUGUAAGUAACUAUGCACGUCUUGACGGUACCUAAUCAGAAAGCCACGGCUAACUACGUG